GAUGAACGCUAGCGGGAGGCCUAACACAUGCAAGCCGAGCGGUAGAUUACUUUCGGGUAAUUGAGAGCGGCGUACGGGUGCGGAACACGUGUGCAACCUGCCUUUAUCAGGGGGAUAGCCUUUCGAAAGGAAGAUUAAUACCCCAUAAUAUAUUAUUCGGCAUCGGGUGAUAUUGAAAACUACGGUGGAUAGAGAUGGGCACGCGCAAGAUUAGCUAGUUGGUGAGGUAACGGCUCACCAAGGCGACGAUCUUUAGGGGGCCUGAGAGGGUGAUCCCCCACACUGGUACUGAGACACGGACCAGACUCCUACGGGAGGCAGCAGUGAGGAAUAUUGGACAAUGGGUGGAAGCCUGAUCCAGCCAUCCCGCGUGCAGGAAGACGGCCCUAUGGGUUGUAAACUGCUUUUAUCUGGGGAUAAACCUACUUACGUGUAAGUAGCUGAAGGUACCAGAAGAAUAAGCACCGGCUAACUCCGUGCCAGCAGCCGCGGUAAUACGGAGGGUGC
rnacentral:rRNA from 1 species